ACCAGUCGCCUUUAAAGUAAGACCUCUGAGUGCAUCCCAUUUUUGUUCUUUUAUUAUAUAUAUAAUGAAAGUAAAAAAAUAGGAUGCACUCAUAGGUCUUACUUUAAAGGCAACUGGU